CAAGCCUGUUCAUAGGGUGGCAGGUACGUAAGUCCAAACCUUAAUGAGUUACAUGCAAAAAAAGCAUGCUUUGUUCUGUAUUUAUAGUUCUCAUAAAUCUAGUAUUAGUAGUAUGCAUAGGCCUGUGUUCAAAAAUACAAAGAUUCAGGUCUUGGCCAUACAUUUACACAACUAACAAUUUGUGGCCCUCUGAAGUCGUAUCAAUUAUACUCCCACUGCCCUGGGCUGGGAUGGUAUUAGAGUCUUCAUUAAAUGGCUCUUUAAGUAAAGAGGCAAUAUGCUCUUUCAUUAAGCUCUUAAUAAUCUUUUAGAGCAGGACUAAAGAAGUUACUAAAAGAAGCCAUCGACAAAACAAAAACAAUCUCCCAACUUAUUUUGUGGCUAUUUUCCUCAUCAACUCUUUCCACCUAAGAUGGAAAACCACAAGUGCUCAGUGUUUAAGGCACGGUUAAAAUUCUAAGGAAGAAAUGGCAGAGUUAAGGCUCUUUCUCUUAAUGAACACCAUUAUAAAAUAUUGGCAAUAGAGGAACUGCUAGCUAGCCAAAAAUGAAAAUAAAAACAAAAGGAGAGGGAUAUUUCUUACAAGUGGCAACAGUCCUCUAAAUAAAAAUUCUCAUACAUAGUAACCUCAGCUAAUAUUGAAAGAGAGGGAAUCUCAUUCCAUUAACUUAUUCCACACCAAUAAAUUCUUGAAUCCAUUUAACAAGAACUGGGUAUUAUAAAUGGGAUGUGGACAAAACAUAAAAAUCUCCCUCAAGGUGAUUGUGGAAAAGGAAACAGUAUAAUAUCAGUCAGGAGGAAUGAAAGAGAUGUCAGUGCAGAAUAAGAAAAGAAAAGUAGUAGGUCUGUGACGGGAGGCAGAGAAGCAGGAGAGAAUACAGGGGAAAUGAAGAGGAUGGAGAAAAGUCAUGAGAAAUUUCCACCAUAUGUAGUCAAACUCGAUUUGUCAUUGGGGCAAAGAUAUUUCUAGUUAUUCUUCAUGUUGUAUAAUCAUGAAGCAUGUACCAAAGAGACAUCUCAAGGAAAGGUCUCCUAACAAUAGUAGUUAUGCUGAAGCAUACAUUUUUAGUGGAAUCAGUAGCAAUAAAGCAGUCAUCCCAUCACCUCUUCGUUAAUAUCCAUCUACUGAAGUUCCUCCAGUGUGUGUGCUAGGGCAGUGUUCAGGAGCAUUUCUCUUUUCUUAUCACUUCCCCUCAUGUGUGUGUAUGUAUUUUUUGGUGAUUUUGAAAUGAUACUGCAAAAUUUCCAGUAAAGCUUGACAAAAGCACUGAUUCCUGGACCUCACCUAUUCAGAGAUACUGAUUUACUAAAUAUAUGGCAGUUCCAGGCACCUCUAAUCCUAAAAGUGUCCUGAGGUUAUCCUGAUACAUCACAAAGAUUGAGAGUCCUCAGCACAAUGGAAACACUUGUACAGACAUUAAGGAUAGUAUGUUUGACUUCUGACUCUGAACUGAUGGCUUAAGCAGGACCAUGAGAUCUUCAGUAAUUCACUUAGCCAUUCUGAAAAAUUAUAUUAAUAGUCCUUAUAUUCAUUUCAAAAUGUGAGAUAUUGACAUUCAUUCUUUAAUAAAUCAUAUUUCUCAUAACUUUCUAUACUUGCCUCUAUCUUUUUAUCAUUCUACUCCAAUUCCCAGCACAUGUCAUUUGAAGUUAAAAAGACAUGACC
rnacentral:lncRNA from 1 species